GGUAGCGUGUCCGAGUGACGUAAGGCGCUGGUUUUACGCACCAGUCAUUUCGAUGACGUGGGUUCGAAUCCCACCGCUGCCA
rnacentral:tRNA from 1 species